UCAAUCUAAAAUGUUUACAGCAACAAUACAUGAAACUAUUGACAACAGAUCAAAUCGCUAAAAUGAUAUACGUUACAACCUGUUCCACUUUGUCAGUUUCUGUAAAGAGUUCUAGCGAGAUCAGCUUGAAAAGAUAACAGCAACAAGUGCAGCGUUAACAACAGGGCACAAUAGGAACUAUGCUUUGGGAGAUUUUCUGGGAUGCAUUUGGAAAAGAAUUUAUGACAAUUGAUGAGAUUCCAACUUUUGGACAAAUACAUUUUAGUUCAGGCCCAUUUGCAACCAGUAUCACAUUAUCAGGUACAAGAACCCAGACUUGGCAGACAUCUGACAUGGGCAGGGUCACAUGGUUCAAAAGCUUGGCUGAGCUUUUCCAGUCUUCCACUUCUUGCAAGCAGCUAUUGUAUGCAAGGGGGGAUAAAGUAUCUUCAAACUGCAUAUUUGAUCACAAGUGUUGCUGGACCUGUUCUGCAUGCAUCUGGACUUUGCACAAAGAGCUUUAUAAGAGAAUUCAGUA